GUGGAUCCCCAAACAAACAUGUCUUGUGGGUGAAAUUAUUUCAAAUUGAGUUGACUUCAAUGUGUUGGACUGUUACUUUAUUAUACAUAUAAUUCGUGGUAUAAGAUAUUGUAACUGACUAGAGAUGGGACGGCCGUGCACAAAGUGUCCGUCGACGACGGUUCAGAGCUGCUGCGGUCUUCGGAACCUAAGGGUAGCCAGUGUAAUGAUAGGAUUUUUCAAAGUGUUGCUGUUCCUCGCAGCAAUAAUAGGCUUUAUAUCAAUAAUGAGCGGCUACCACACAGGCGCGGCUAACGAGGAAGAGAUAGCUGAGAAACCUACAGCACAGUUGGUCCUAGCGCUACUGAUGUGUAUAGGAUUCCUGUUCCUAGCUGGUGUGUUGAUUGCUGGAUUAUUUAAGAAACGCCGCAACUACGUGAUGAUAUACUGGGUGGCGAACUGGGUGUGGAUCGCGCUCUCUCUAAUAGGCCUCUUCACGCAGUCGCAGGGCGCGCUACAAUGGAUUAUGGUCUUCUGUUAUACUGUGGCGGACAUCUACUUCCAAAUCGUGAUCCGGAGCUACUACGUCGAGAUGACGGGCGCCGUAGCUGCGCCUGCGUUCCCACCACAACAUGCAGCGCCGGGAAUCGCUAAAUAUUAGACUAGCCAUAUUUAACCUUUUUAAUGAGGGCCACAAAGACGGUUUUACCUUGUAACCCCGGGCCGCAAAAUUAAUUUGCUAGGCCCACUUGCACCAUUCCAAUAACCCAGGGUUAUCCGGUUAAACCUGGAGUUACCAUGGUUACCAGUACAAUUUGACACAGGGUUGACGGUUAAACCGCUUAACCUCGGGUUAGUGGGAUGGUGCAAGUGGGCCUUAAAGGUGUACAGAUGACUAGGGUCUUAGAAUUUUUCAUACUUAUAAUACUUCUGUUUGGGUCCUUUCGAUGUCCAACGGUUUCGACUACAAUUUUGGACUGACGGCUAUUCGGACUACGGCUCGUCGAUUCCGGUCAGCGUCGACAGAUAUCUGCCGGACAGUCCGUGGCCUGCAGGCCAAUUUACACACACAUUAUCAGAUAGCCGGCCGGUGGCCUGUUGGCCGUCAUCUGUUGUCAGUCGAGAGCCUUCAGUUUCGUGUUUUUCAACUAGUUUAAUUUUUUCCUCAAAAUGGACUGUCGACGUCAAAGAUAAUGUUUACACUUUUGGACCUUAUUCCUUUGUAAUAAGGCAAAAAAUGUAAACCUAUAUUUUACUACUACAGUGAAACCUGGUUAAUUGGUUACUUGGAUAAAUGGAAAACGUCAAUAGUUGCAACCAAAGCUCUGGUUCUGGUCCUUUGAAACCAAAGGUAUAAUUGAAAUUAUGAAACUUUUUUAGUUAUUUUAUUAGUUACAUGAAAUUUGAUUUUGAUGUUUUUCUUAUGUUUGCCUCCGUAAUUAAACAGAUUGCAUAAAGUAGUUACCUACCUCUACCUACCUACCUACUCUAUAAUUGUAACAGUUCCAUUUGUUUGGUCCUAUUUAUUAUUUCUACUAGUAAAAUAGGAUGUACUUUAAAUAUUUAUUUAUUUCAUUAUUUUAUACUUUAUUGCACAAAACAAGUUAAAGGUACAAAAGGUACAAAAGGUGGAGUUAAUGUUUUAAGUUAUUCUUUACCAGUCAAUUACUGGCCCAACCAGAAACUAUUUUACAAGCUUUUAUUACCUAACUGACUUUCAAAUCUGAGAAGGACGAAGGUUAUCAAUAGGGAAUAUUACGCGAAACUCUGCGUAGGGGGCGCCAGACCGUUACAGAAACGAAAUACUACCAGAAAAAGGUGACGAAGUGGAUUACUAUAUCUGGUGAUGUACGUAAUUUUUUUUUGAUUUGUUGUAAAUUAUAAAAAUCUAUUACAAGGUAUCAAACAAAAAAAUCACUAGUAAACCGCCCAAGUGGACCUAAUAUUAUGUAGAAAAGGUUUUAAAGAGUAGAAAGAAUAAAACAAAAACAUAACAGUAAAGUAUUUUCAUUUCUUUCAAUUUGGUAUACAAAGAUAGCACCUAUAUAAGAGCCGGUGUAAGUAAAAGUAGGUUGAAUCCACCGCUUGCAGCUUCUAACUCCAUAUCCUUUUUUUGUAAUAAUUGUCACAUAGUAGGAGAAUUGCAGGUAGGUAAUAUCGCCACGCCACGCUCUGUAACGCCGAACACAGUUUGCUCCAGAUAUUCUUUUAACUUAAAACGGAAUGAAUUAAUGUUGUCAUAAUUCGGAUCCAACUUGUAGCUGAAGAAUUUCAGGCAUAGAUCUUAUCUCUUGUCUAAGCAGGUACUUCGGUUAGGUUAGGUGAGGUAUCUCCAUACUUGCGCAAGUGUUCCUACCACGUGUCUUUAUAGCAUACUUUAUAGAAUCAAAUCGCACAAUUUUUGCAGAAUGUCAGUCAUGAAAAAAAUCAGAAUUGUGAUAUUAUGUUUUCGAUUUUCUUAUAAAGGUAUUUUUCAUAGCUAGUCUUUUCAUUGCUAGCUGCCGUGAACGCCAACGAUGGUAUACCUCCCGGCGUUAUCUUGAGAACUAUUAAAAUUUUAACCAGUGUUUUAGGUAAUAUUGGGAGGCUAAUUUCCCUAUUUGAAUCUUUGAAUGCUUGCUCCUUUUUUACUCGGUUACACUUCCAGCAAUCAAUAAUCAUGUCUGUAUUUUCGAAUAUAUAAGCCACGCAAAUACAAUAUGUCACAUUUAAAAUUAAUAGAGAAAAAAAUAAGGUUUAUGUUAUAAUUCUCUUUACGACAUUUAUUUUUGACUGACAGUAAACAGUUGCGAGGUAACAACAUGAUAAAUAAAGAAAAGUCUUGACAAACUAGAUACAUGCAACCUUCGCAUUGUUGUAUUCAGGCCUUAAAAUUGUAUAAACUUUAUACUGACAUCUGGUGACGUAGUUUGCACAUUUGGAAUAAUUUUAUUUCAAUUUGACAGAAGCCCUACCGUAUUUAAGAUUAAUAAGGUCUACUGGCCGUAAAUUGUGUAUGAAAUUACAAGCAAAUAUCAGCCUCAAAGAAUUAAGUAUUGGAGCCGUGAUGUUCGAAGACAAAAAGUCGUAUGCUUAUAUUGCUUAUUAGGGACUAUGAACUCUUAAGUAUUAGGAAUAAAAUAGAAUUUACUAAUGCUGUAACGUGUGUCGAUCGCCGGCCGGCUACCUCAUGAUGUGUGUUUGACUGGACUCGAGGCCACGGACUGUCCGGCGAAUAUCUGUCGGCGCUGACUGGAAUCGUCAGACACGAUCAGUUCGUGUAAGUCGUCAGGCCGAAAACUGACAGAAAACUGUUAGUGUGUGGCCUUUUGCGGUCAACUGACAGGCUGAUAUCGUCCGGCGGACUGGUAAUCAGUGGGCCCCUUAAGAAUAUUAAUAUAAUAUGGUGCGAGUAAUGGGCCCCAGUUGUAUUAAUAAAUUACAUCGUUUAAUAAUCCCAUUCAUCAGUAUAAGUGAUAUCGUUUAGUAUAAUUGUUUCAGUAUUAUACUUCUUUUUUUAUUAGCAUUAGAAAAAAGGUAAACAAUCUUGAAGUGCCUUUUUAUUGAAAAACACUUUUGAAAAAUAAGUCACGGCAAAUAUGUAGCAAUUACGAUUAUUUACAUUAUUUUGCUUGCAUAAGUAAUUGAUACUGAUUUUUUUAAAAGCGUUUUUCAAUUAAAUGACACGUUGUUACCAUUAUUAUUUUAGGGGGCUAAUUAAAAUGGAAUAAAGGAAACUAGUACAUUACUUAUAA